rnacentral:rRNA from 1 species
ACGGAGGGUGCGAGCGUUAAUCGGAAUCACUGGGCGUAAAGCGCACGUAGGCGGUGUCGUAAGUCGGAUGUGAAAGACCUCGGCUCAACCGGGGAACUGCAUUCGAUACUGCGAUGCUUGAGUGCCGGAGAGGGUGGCGGAAUUCCAGGUGUAGGAGUGAAAUCCGUAGAUAUCUGGAGGAACACCAGUGGCGAAGGCUGCCCACUGGACGGCAUCUGACGCUGAGGUGCGAAAGCGUUGGGAUCAAACCG